CGCGGGGGUGCCAGCAGCGACGGGCCCUCAAAGUUUGGUUUAAACGCGGAGGAGGGGUUCAGCGCCGGCUGCCCAGCUUCACGAUUUAAACUUAGGCGCGGGUUUGGAGAACUCCUGUAAAAAGUGGGGAGUUAACGUAGUAAAAUAAUCCCGUAACGCGGAGGCGGGGGGGGGGAAUAUCCACAAAGGCGCGGAGUGUCCCCGCGGGGGUGCCAGCAGCGACGGGUCCUAAAAAUACGGUUUAAACGGGGAGGGGUGUUGAGCGGCGGCUGCCCAGCUUCACGUGUUAAACCCAGGAGCGGGUUUGGGGAACUCCUGUAAAAAGUGGGGAGUUCACGUAGCGAAAUAAUCUCGCAGUGCCCGGAGUUACGGUUAAUUGCUGUGAUGAGUGAAGCCUUCUCAUUACGACCCUCGGGCUCGUGAUGUUCUCUCGCCCAGGCGGCGAGUAGCCCGACAAGGUAGCCCCCAGCGAAGGCUAAGACCGGCUGGUGCUUAAAGUGCUCCAGGAUCUGCACCUACAUUUGUCUUUUGAGAGCAGGGUCUAAAUAACGUAGUAUUCGGUGUGAAAUAAAGCAAAAUUGCCUUUGUAGUAUGCAUGUACAACAGGUAGUUAGAAAUGGCAUGAAAAAGUAGGUAAAAAUCACAAAAAAACAGCUUCUGAUAGAAAAAAAAAUCCCACGUGUAGUGUACCGCAGGUUCCUAAGGCUAUCAGAGGGUCUAAUUUCUAAACCACUAAUUCACAUCUACUCUGAAUUGACGCUGAGCAAAUAUUGGGACCAUCUGAUUGCAAUAGCAGGGUCAGAGUGGGGGUUUUGAUCAGCCUCCGGGUUCCAAAGCGUGGCUCCUUUAUGAAGUGACAUCCUUUACCUGCCCUCCAUGCCCCCCUAAGAAAGGGAACAUCAAAGCAGACCUAAACGCAGCAGGGGCUGAUGGCGCGACGGUUCUCCUUGGGUUUCCUUUUUGCAAUUUUGUGAGGUGGACAUUGAGAAUAAACCUGUUUCUACCUUGGGUACAAUACUCGUUCACUGUUGUCUCUCCUGGGCCAGCAAAAAUGGGGAGUGCUGUGAUCUAACCAGUACAAAGCUCAGAAAUAAAUUUCAAACUGCCUUACAUGCUUUUAAUUCUUAAAUCAGUUAAGCGGAGAUUGAAACUUUCCUUGAAAUAGGGCAUUUUUCUUUACUAUUCCUGUCUGCUUCUACCAACAGAAAUAUAUUCAGAGAGCAUCCAGUUGCCCUUUGCAUACCUAACCAAUCAUGUUCUAGGUACUAUAUCAAACAUACUAAAUAUCAUACAAAAAAAUAAAACGCAUUAGAGUUCAACUUUGUGGGCCUUGUUGGUCAUCUCUUUGUAAAGAUCCAUAUUUUAAUGAACUGUGACAUGGGGAUAAAGGCGGGAGAGGAUAGAGUUCUAACCUGGGAUUUAAGGCAGUAAGCUUCUCCUUCUGCAUCUGCCAAUAGCUGUUUGCAGAAUCUUGAAAAAAUCAUGUAAUCUUUCUCUAACAUCUCCCUAUUUGCAGGUGAUUUAACUUUAUUAUCGUAUAGAAGUGUUGUAUAGGCUAUAUAUUGAAGUGUGGAUUCCAGAUGUUUGUUACAGCAAGUGCAUUAUUAAUCCAGAAUCCUGAGGAGAUGCAUGCAUAUGUUGACCUUUCAGCCAAGAUUACUCAAUUUUAAAAUCAAAUGCAUGUGUACAUCUGUAGGAUUGAGGCCAGAGUAAUUGUACAAAAUAAAUGGAUGUAACUAGAUAAUCAUCAGACAAAACCCCACAUAAUCCAUCCAUUCCACAAAAGUCCACCAAAAAAGAUCAGAGACAUAAAAGAAAACUAAUUUUUCUAAAUCUGUGGUUUUUUGGACAUGACCAAUCUGAGACUCUUGGUGUAUCAAGCAAACCCACCAAAGACUGUAUUAAUCACAUACACCUGGAAACACCACAGCACAUCAUUGAAGUGUGGAAGUAAAUAUGUUUCAGAAAUGUCACAGUUUUAAUCUAUAGAUCUCCAAAAAUAGGAAACACAUCUUUAACCUUCUUUUAAGACAGAUUCCUACUAAUCUACAUUUAAUUUUAUCAUUGAAAUAUCGCUGUAAUCUGUGCAUUAAUGACAAAAAACCUGUCUCAAACUUAAAAGAACUGGGGAAAAAAGGGGUGGUCAGCUGUGGAUGAUAAUACCCACAGCUGCAUUAGGAUAAAAACAUUUAGAAGCGAUAUUAAACCCGUGUGCUUGAGCACACAGGUUAAGCACUGGUAGAUGAGGGUUAGGGCUCGUUUCCCCUCUGAGCAGGUCAUGCCACAGGUUUCUAGCAGUGCCCAGAGCUGGGCCCUGCCAGGGCUGCCAUGAGGCUGGUUUGCUUCGCCGGCAAAAAUGGGGUAAAACCACUUCAGGUAUCAAUACUGCGAAAAGGGAGCAGUGAUUAUUGAGUUGAAAGGGGCUAGUCUGAACUAUAUUAAAAAAAAACCCAACACACUGAAACUUCUUUGCUGGAUGUUAAUGUAACUUAAAUUAUUUAAGAUCUAAUCAUAACAGCCUGCUGGAUCCUUGUUAGCUUGGAACUAGGAUCUGUCAUUUAAUUAAACUUGUACCACAGGGCUGAUGCUAAAAUAAGAACUAUAGUGUUGUGCUUGGGGAGGCUGUAGGAAGAAAUGGGUUAAUUUUACCCCUACUGAGCUUUCAUGUAUGGUUAUUUCCCAUUGGAGAGAACGGACUGAAAUAAUUUUAAAACAUUUUUUGAAGUAUUAUUUUGUCGUGUAAGACCUACCAUUCUAUACCUUACCUCGGAUUAAGAUGGAAGUCUAGAUACUUAACCAUGUUGUUGCUUUAUGAAGUUAAAAAUUAUAGUUUUUCUAGACGUGACAAGUCAAAAUUUUUGCAGGAAUUCCAUCAACUGAACUUUAAGCUCUACUUUAGGUGAGGUUGGCAGAUACGCUGGCCUUAACCUCCUUGCUGCUUGGGACUGCAGAUAAACAUCUGUUUGCCUUUUGCAACUUCUAAUGUGUUGUUUUUAAUGUAGAUCUACCAUAAUUUCCAUUUUGUGGUAACCUGAUUUGGUUUUGGUACAAUAACAGCAACAAAUGGAAGUGAUAAUUUGCAUCUGAAGCUGGAAAUAUGUUUUACAAAAACUGCUAUGCAAAGGGUAGCACCUUUGCAUGCUCAGUACCGUAUCACAUUAAUCAUAUGGUACUCAGCGAACCUAUUCUUACUCAGUCCUCCUACAGAAAAUAGAGAAGUACAUUUUUAGCAGGAAAAAACCUGUGAGUAUCCUUGUGACAGUGUACAGAUUUCUCAGGGCUUUCUGGAAGGAAACUUGGACUUCUGCCACCUGCUCCGAUUGUGUUCAUGCAUAAAUGAUCCAGGGAAUGGGUUGACAUUACCUCUAAUUAGGGGUAAUAACAGCCUGCUACUGAAAGAGCCAGUUCCCUUUCUCUUGUGUGUGUGUCCCUCAUUUCUCCUGUGUUAGGUCUAGUGUUUGUGCAGCCACAGGGUAAGUCAGUUCAGUGACCUGAUCCAGCAGAAAACUCAACCAUUAAGAAAAAAUAGAAAACCGUUGGUUGGUUUGUUGUUUUUUUUUUUUUCAUCAGGUCAAUUGACUGAAGCUCUGUAACCAUUUGAUCUGCGUGAUGUACAGGAUGGCGAGGAGUGGGGUGAGAUGAAGGCAGAGUGCAGGACUACACCCUUUUGGUGGCCUUCUGCAAUUGCACUGAUCAGAGCUAACUCUAGAGUGGCAGUAUAGAGGUGUGUAAUAAUAAGUAAUUAGAGUUGGGAAUACAAGAGUUUAUCCUGUUUAGUUUGUACCUCAGAAUGGAGCUGUAAACUGGAACAUAAUGGGGGAAGAGGGUACACUGCGACAGCCCUGAUGUUUUAGUUGCAGAAGGAGGCUUGGUCCUUAAUUUAUGUUCUUCUAUGUAACAAUCCAAAUUUUUAUUUCUGAAAGGAAAGGAAAUAAGGCUUAUUUUAAACCUACAAUGCUGGGGGGCUUGGAAGCUUAAAAUUACACAUAGGUUUGGUUUGGAAAAGUGGAUGGGAUGAGAUUUCUUUACUGAUUCAGUAGGUCCUUUUCCGUACAUUUCUUUGAAUGAAAUAUGAACUCCGCAAUACAUCAGUGUGGAAUACUGUUCUGUCUUUCAGAGCCCUUCCCAAUAAACAGGAAUAGGAGUAAUGGACAGA